CGCCUCGACACUUGGCACAACCACUGCAUUACUUUCUUCAACAACACACAUACAGCUGCCCCUUCAACGUCGAAGGAGCAGGCUUCCCGAGAGAACGGGACCGGACAAAGGCGUCCUUACUAGGUAACUAGUGGGGAUGCC
rnacentral:sRNA from 1 species